rnacentral:ncRNA from 2 species
CUCUUAUUAAGAACCAUGAGAUGAAGAUCGAUGAAGUGGUGGCAACCCUAUAUGUUAGAAGGUGCCUUUACUGAGCAAGUUUAUUCUUGAACAAUAAGAG